rnacentral:rRNA from 1 species
UACGUAGGGUGCGAGCGUUGUCCGGAAUUAUUGGGCGUAAAGGGCUCGUAGGCGGUUUGUCGCGUCGGGAGUGAAAGCAUCUGGCUUAACUGGGUGCUUGCUUUCGAUACGGGCAGACUAGAGGUAUGCAGGGGAGAACGGAAUUCCUGGUGUAGCGGUGAAAUGCGCAGAUAUCAGGAGGAACACCGGUGGCGAAGGCGGUUCUCUGGGCAUGACCUGACGCUGAGGAGCGAAAGUGUGGGGAGCGAACAGG